rnacentral:rRNA from 1 species
GACAGAGGCCUCAAGCGUUAGGCGGAAUCACUGGGCUUAAAGCGUGUGUAGGCGGAUCGUUAAGUGUCUUGUGAAAUCCCACGGCUCACCCGUGGAACUGCUGGGCAUACUGGCGAUCUUGGGCCAACUAGGGGCAACUGGAACAAGCGGUGGAGCGGUGAAAUGCGUAGAUAAUCGCUUGGAACGCCGGAAGGUGAAAACAGGUUGCUGGGGUUG